UACGUAGGGGGCAAGCGUUAUCCGGAUUUACUGGGUGUAAAGGGAGCGUAGACGGUUAUGUAAGUCAGAUGUGAAAGCCCAGGGCUCAACCCUGGGACUGCAUUUGAAACUAUGUAACUAGAGUGCAGGAGAGGUAAGUGGAAUUCCUAGUGUAGCGGUGAAAUGCGUAGAUAUUAGGAGGAACACCAGUGGCGAAGGCGGCUUACUGGACUGUAACUGACGUUGAGGCUCGAAAGCGUGGGGAGCAAAC
rnacentral:rRNA from 1 species